ACGGGAGGCAGCAGUGGGGAAUAUUGGGCAAUGGAGGGAACUCUGACCCAGCAACGCCGCGUGAGUGAAGAAGGUUUUCGGAUUGUAAAACUCUUUAAGCGGGGACGAAGAAAGUGACUGUACCCGCAGAAUAAGCAUCGGCUAACUACGUGCCAGCAGCCGCGGUAAUACGUAGGAUGCAAGCGUUAUCCGGAAUGACUGGGCGUAAAGGGUGCGUAGGUGGUUUGCCAAGUUGGCAGCGUAAUUCCGUGGCUUAACCGCGGAACUACUGCCAAAACUGGUAGGCUUGAGUGCGGCAGGGGUAUGUGGAAUUCCUAGUGUAGCGGUGGAAUGCGUAGAUAUUAGGAGGAACACCGGUGGCGAAAGCGACAUACUGGGCCGUAACUGACACUGAGGCACGAAAGCGUGGGGAGCAAACAGGAUUAGAUACCCUGGUA
rnacentral:rRNA from 1 species